rnacentral:lncRNA from 1 species
CAAGAAUAUGAAGAGAAGGAGGAUGACAGCUUCCUAGAAACGAGAAAAUCCAAGGAUGGAACCUACAGUGUCCUUAUGGACUCAGCAAACCGCAGUUGGCUGGGCAGAAAAAUGAGUGAAAUAGCUAUUAGUAACCUAGUUGAGACGAUCCUCAAUAUUAUGAUCCAUGCUUCCCCACUGAAGUACCAGCGCUGUAUUGGCGCACUAGGGCAGAUCUUUGCGUCUUACCAAGUGUCUCCAUCCCUGCGCUCUGAGACUGCCCACCGUCUGCUGGAUGAUACAACCAAUUCCAACCCACUGAUCCGAGAGCUAGCCUGGGAAGGGCUGAAGCGUCUAGGAAUGGUCACUCAUCUCUUUGCCUUGCCUCUGGCCCAAGGGUUAAUGGAUAAGGAUGAAAGAGUGAGGAAUAAGGCCCUCAACAUCAUGCCUGAGACUGGAAUCCACUCCAGGACCUCACUCUUAAACUUGAUCCAGGGACAAGAGACUUUCCAGGAAAUGAAGCAAGAGAUGAUUGGGGAUGAAUCCCUGGACCACCUGCUGGGGAUGCGGCCCACAGAUCUCCAAAUCCUUUUCUCUCAAGUGCAGCAGCGACUGAAUGAAAACCUGACCUUGUCAAAAGAAGAUAGGGAAUUUUAUUUUUCUUUACAUAUCGCAAGGCCUUCUGUACCUUCUAUACAACCUGCCACUGUUCCUGAAGAAUCUGAUGUCAAGCGCAGCAAAGGGCAAAGACGGGGCCGAGCAGUGGGCAGAAAGCACACGCGAAAAUUGUUGCGAGGUCUCAGAAAGAUGAAAGAGGGAGACUUUAAACAGAUGAGCACAGAGCCGGGCCCAGUAGAAGGUGAAAUUGAUCAGAGUGAAACUGUGCCACCUGAGAUGGAGGACACAACUUUCUCCUCCAGGUUUUCAGUUGGUAGUCUAAAGGGCUCUCAAGAUUAUGAACCUUCAGAGAUACAUGUCUCAGAGGGUCACAUUCCUCUGGCCCAGAAGAUGCUAAAGAAAAUGCCUGAUACAAGAGGUAAGAAAGCUACAGCUCAGAAACCCAUAAAGAAGCAAAAGAAAAGAAAAGAGGAAAAAGUUUUAAUUGAGGAAGCUUUCCCUACUAUAAUAGAAGAACCAAUUAGGACAAAAAUUAAACCUCCGGGGCGGGGUGCUGCUGGAGUGCCUGGCCAUAGGUCUGCAGAUAGCAUCUCAUGGCGGGAUGAUCUAUGUCGUCUUAUGACCCUGAGGAUAUCUGGUUCCCAAACAAAAAUGUCAGAAGAUCUAAACACUGAGUUAGUGACUACGGCUCAGGAGAUUCUGGCAGAUCGGCGCCCCAGCUGGGAACUCUUUCAGGAGAUCUGCCCUGUGUUGAAGAAAGAAAGCAAGGGUAUGCUUGAGGACCUUGCCAAGGAUGUAGCUGAGGACCUUGCCAAGGAUGUAGCUGAGGACCUUGCCAAGGAUGUAGCUGAGGACCUUGACAGGGAUAUAGUUUGGCCAGAGGAGAAACCAAGUUUUAUCCAUGAAGAAGCAAUUAGAGAGGACAUGGUUAUCAGAGACAAGAAAGAGAUACCAGUAGAGCAAGAAGGGCAAGUGCAAAAGGAAGAAAGGGACGUGCAGGGCUUGCAGGAAGUGGUUCCAAAAAAAGGCAAGAAAAAGCAAGUUAUUAUUUUAGAACUAAGUGACCUAACUAAGAAAAAACAAAAGUCAAAGAAGGAAGAAAAGAAAUCUUCCAAGAAGAUAUCUAAGGAAGAGAGGAAAACAGAGCAGGAGGAAAGUACAGUAGGUAAAAAGGGGACGAAAAUGACCAAAGGAGAGAAAGAUGUGAGCAAGAAAGUAGAGGAAAUGACAAAAGCAGAAGAGAAAGUGGUUGAACCAGAAAAAAAGCCAGUUGCUGGAAAGAAAUUGUCUUGGCAGGAGUGGAAGAGCUCACAGGAUCAGUGGAAACAGGCUCACAGUGACAGGAAGAUAUCCUGGGAAGAAUGGAAACAAGACCAGGACAAAAUCCACCUUCAGGAAGAGAAGAAAUUAACCGAGGCUAAAGAAAAGUUAUUUCUAGAGGAAAAAAUGCAGGAGGGGAAGGAAAAGAAGCUGAGUUUGGAUGAGUGGAAAAAGGUCUGGGAAAAUGUACUUUCCUCCAGGCCCAAGGAUGAGAAAGAACUGACUUUAGAAAAAAGGCAACAGCGGGAGGAAGUAGCUAAGGAACUGCAAAGAGAAAGAGAAGACAAAAAAGCAGAGCUGGCCACCACAGAAAAGCAGAGACAGAUCCAGGAAGAGCAGAUAAAGGUCAUGGUACAGAAAAGAGAAGAAGACAAAAAGGAGGAAAGAUUCGCACAAGAAGAGGGAAGGCUGACCCAAGAAUAUGUGAAAAUGUCCCUGAAAGAUGAGAAAAUGGCCCGCAUAGAGAGUAAGUUUGCCCAGAAAGAGGAAAAACUGGCCCAAAAAGAAGAAGAGCUAAGCCACAAAGCAGAGCGAUUGGCCCACAAAAGGAAGAAACUUGCCAAGAAAUUGAAGAAAAUUGCUCAAGAAGAAGAGAAACUAGCAAAGAGAAUAGAGAAAAUUAUUGAGGUAAAAACACUAUUGGUCCAGAAAGCAGAAACACUAAAGCAGAAGGAGCAAAGUCUAGAAUGGCAAGAAAACGAGCUGGCCGAGGAACUAGAGGAGCUGGAAAGGAACCUGAAAGACCUGGCUUCAAAAGAAGUUGAGCUGAACCAGGAACAAGAGAGACUGGUUAAGGCAAAGGAGGAACUGGCUGAGGAAAAGAAGAUACUGGCCUGGCGAGAGGAGAAUCUGGCUAAGAAAGAGAAAUCACUGGCCCAGGAAGAAGAGCUGCUGGUGCAGGAAGAAGAGAAGCUGGCCCAGAACAAGGAAAAAGACCCCAAGGAAGUAAGGAGAUUGGCUCAGAGAAGGCAGAAACUGACAGAGGACAAAGAGAAACUGGCCCAGGAAAGGGAAAAACUGGUCCACAACAAGAAAGAAUUCACACAGAACAAGGAGAGACUAGCCCAAGAGGAAGAGAAUCUGGCUCAGAAAUGGAAGAAUUUGGCUCAGAAAAAGGAAAAACUGGUUCAGAGGAAAGACGAUCUCCACCAUAUCAAAGAAGAACUCCUCCAGGAGAGAGAGCAAUUAGCUCAGGCGAAGAAGAAAAUAGAUAUGUACAAGGAGACACUGGUUCAGGUAGAAGAGAAGCUGAAGCAGGGGAGGGAGGUAGUGGUGAAGAAGAAGGAGAAGCUGGAUGCUAUACAGAAGAAACUGGAUCAAGCAGGUGGGACUCUGGCUAGAAACCAGGAGAAAGUGGCCCAGAAAAAAACAGAAUUAUCUGUGGCAAAGAAGGCAGUGCUCCAAGGAAGGAAAAUGCUCAGAGAUGAGCUGGAUGUUGCUAAGAAAGAAAAGACAUUGAACAUAAAAAGGAAGGUGACAGUACUUCAAAAACUAAUCAGUGAUGAAAGGAAAAUAACCCAGGAAGAAACAAAGAGGACAAAGAUAAAGCGGUCACUUGUUGUCAUGGAGAGCAGACUGAGCAAGGAACAGAGCAGACUUGAUAUCAAAGAGUUGGAUUUUUCUGAGGAAGAAUCAAAAUUGGCCAAAGCUGAAAAGAAACUGGCUGAAAAGCAGAGAGACAUGGCCAAAGAAAUAAGAACUAUUACAGACCAGGAGAAAAAAAUGCCUGAAGAAAAAAGUAAAUUGGCCAAGGAACAGACAGAAGUCAUAGAGGCUGUAGAAAAGGAAGGAGUAAUACAGGAGGAAGAGGAAAUCCUAUCCCUUAAACAAAAGCAGAAAAAGAGAAAAAAAUCAAAAGAAAUUGAUACCCUAAAGAGAAAGCUUCGCAGAAAAGUGGAUGAGAGAGAAAGUGAAAAGAGCAUUUCUAAGAAAAUAGAAAUCCUGCUAGAAGAAGUAGAGCAAGAGAGUUUGUCUGAGGAGGAGGAGGAGGAAGAAGAGGAAGAAGAGGAAGAGGAACAAGUAGAAGAGGAAUUAGAGGAGGAAGAAGAGGAGGAAGAGGAAGAAGAAGAAGAGAAGGAAAAAAAGAGGAAAGAAGAGAAGAGGAAGAAAAGCAAGGUGGAAGAAGAUGAAGGUUUCAAGGAGGAGGAGAAAAGCAUGAGUGAGGAGGAGCUGGAAAGUUCAAGUGAGACAGAAGAGGAGAGAAGCUCAGUAAAACUGGGCAAGGAAAAAGAUAUCUUAAAAAGAGAACUAUUUAAGCUACAAGAAGAAAGAAGAAAGGACCUACAAAGAAGGAAAAUGGUCCCUUCUAUUGGAGAAAGACCCAUUGGGGUCAAAGGCAGUGGUAUAAAACUGGGAGUUUUAAAAGUCCCUUCCAGACAACCAGUCUCAGUACGUAUGGAUAUGGGAGGGAAGAUACAAAUGCCACUGCCAGUUACACAAACAUUCUUAGAAGAGAAAACCACAGCACUCCAGACAUGGAGUAUAUCCUCAAAGGUACAGUUGAAGGAUAAAGAAAGAGAACUGUUUGAAAAAUGGAAAGACAUGCCUCUACACGUGCUGGAUACAAUUUCAGUGUCCCAAGAGCAGGACAUGAAGACACCAUUCAUGUCCGGCAUAUUCAGGAAAACCAUGGAGGCUCGCAAACUCAAACACAGACUCCCAGAUGCCAGGUGGAAGUGGCUUUUGCAGCAUCAUCCAUCUCUGAUAGGAUACAGUAAGGUACAACCCCCUGUUGCCCGGAUCCUGGUUGACAAACAACAUCCAGAGAUACAGGUAAGCCUCUCAGACACGGAGUGGAUCCACCAGGUCCUAGAACGGAUGGAAGCAGGGGAACAGCUUUCCAGAGACAGCUUCCACAGGUUGUGUCAGCUCCUCAAAGACUUGACUUCAGAGGGAAACUUAGAGUGGCUACGUCCAGCCACACUCGGAACCAUUGUGCACCAUCACUUGCAGGCACUGCAGUCACAAAGCACAAGGGCCACGCAGCCCAGCAGGGAAUUCAUGACUCUGAAACACCGGAAAGUGAUUCCUCCUAUAAAAGGAAAGGAAAAGGAAAGUUGGGAGGAGCCCAUGUGUCUGAAAUACCUGAAAGUGAUUCCUCCUAUAAAAGGAAAAGAAAAGGAAAGUUGGCUAGAACCUUUGACUGUCCCCACACCAAAGUCCCCAUUAGCUGCCAAGACAAUUAUAGACCCAAAGGCUACAAACUGGCAUCUUCUAGGUGAGCCUUACAGGAGUGCACAGAUACAGCAGUUAUCCAAUGCUCUCAGAGAAAUGCAGACACAUUUUCAUCCUGCCACAAGAGACCUGUUCACAGGUGCCCAUGCCUCUGUGGACAAACAAACCCUGGCACUAAUGUUUCAGAAGGACCUUAGGGCUUUUAUGGAUAAGGGCAGAUUUCCCAAAUUGCCCAAGUUGGAGAAGAAAACACAGCCCAUCUUGCAAAAGAAGGAAAAGGUACCUCCAUGGGAGACAUUUGUGGCACUGUACCAUGUUUUGCGGAUGAUGCAACAGCGAUAUGCAAAAGACACUGCUGCUUGGAUGGAACAGUUCCAUCAGCUCAUGGACUUGUACCAGCUCAAGUCCCCCAGAAUCCAGAGGCUGCUACAAGAUCUGCUACUGACAGAGGAAACUCAGCCUGAACAGAUCAUCUAUAAAGAGGCCCUGCCGCCCACAGAGCUAGUACCUGGGGAACGGGUGUUCUACUGCCUGGUUUGUGGUGGCUCUCAUACCCCAAGCACUCUGGGGUUCCAGGAUGUGGUAGCCCUUCCUGGACAGAAUAACGUGCGCACCUUCCUUCCUGUAGGUAUUGCCAAAUACGGAAUCUUAGAACUUGCCUGGAAGAGCCUGCCCCAAGCUGAUACUUGCCUCACCAAGGAAUUUCCCCACAUCAUUGCCACCACUCCCAAAUUUGGGACUGGCUAGAGGUCAGAACUUUUCAUUCCCAACUGGAGAAGGCUCUGCUCAUCAGAAUCUAGAGCUUCAUCUCUAGGGACCAGAUCAAAGCCCUUUCCCUACCCAGCUCUGGAAACCUGUUUCUGUAUGUGAAUAAAGGAGAGGUUCUUUUUUUGCAACAAGUAAGGAACUUUGAUGUGUUCCUUUUCCCAAAAAUUUAUAUUUUAGGAAGGUCACCAGAGAUACAUAUUUCUGUGAGCGGGAAAAUAUCCCAGCAGCCAGUGGUAUUCACUCUGUGAGCUCCUGAAGAGUCUGUCCUUGUCCUCAUCCUUCCUGGUCUUCUACCAUCGCUGUCCCGAAAACAACAGGGAAGAAAGCAACUGUCACAAAACUAAUGUAUAUAGACAUUAAUAUAAGUGGUGGAAUGGAUUUAAGAAUCAGAAGACCUAACAUUUGCAUUUUAGUACCUGGAGGCGUACUGUAGGGAUUGACUCUAAUUCCCUGAUCACAGCUGAGCAUGAUGAUGACUUAAGUCCCAAACAGCAAUUGUGCUGGGUAUUGAGAUCCUUAGAGUAAAGGAAAAAGCCUCAUCACAUUUGACCCAGUACUAUGUGGUGAGUUCAUUGCUGGAUCCCACUAAAGAGGGACGCCAUUUGAGGUUAAAGCAGGAAGAAAAUGAGAAGACCCUAUGCUUUUCAUUGCCUUUGCUAUGAGAGAGUGACAUGGGGCUUGACAGAAUGAUGGAAUAAGAAUUAAGAAGACUAAGUAUAGACUCAAAUAAGUCCCAGUUGUCUAGGAAUUUAUAACCGUUCCUUCCAACAAAUAAAGAUAUAAGAUUUAAAAGAAAAAAUGUAGUACCAUAGAGGAAGCUUUCAUUGCCAGUAAUCCUGUUCUCUCCUUACCAUGGAGUCUUCAGAAUGGCCUCUUUCCAGGGAAGCUCAGGCUUCCAAAUGCUUCUAGGGAGUGCCUCAUCUCUGCCACUUCCCAUUCUCUGCCACAACCUCUAUUUUGCUAUUCUAAUACUUGCAUCUUUGGAUGUAUUUUCCUGUGGGAGGAAGCAGGGGAUAGAGGACAGCAAAACAGUCUGAGAAGUUAGAGUCAUCUCAAAGGCCAAAAGCAAUGAGAGCUGUGACUCUGCAGUUGCGCUCUUCCAUGUUAGAGUGUAUAUCAGGCCACAUAGCUUGGAGCAGGAAGCCUCAAAAAGGAUGACUGACCUGACAGCCAGUCAAGGCAGUGAAAGUAAAGAUAGCCCAGCUUGCUCAGUAGCCUUGACCUGAGUCACUUCUCUGUUUUGGCCUCUGUUUAUUUGUCUGUCAAAAAAGGAAUAAUGCUCACUACAAAUAUUAGGCAUGAAAGAAGGAACACCACUACAGAACCUACAGAUGCUUAAAAGGAUAAGACUGCUAUUUUAAAAACUCUUAUGCCUAUAAAUUUGACAGCAUAGAUGAAAUGAGUAAACUCUUUGAAAAACCCUGAAGCAAAUAGCAAUACCUAGCUAAUUCAUUUGUUGGAUAGACCAUCCACAUUCCAAUUUUUUGACUGACCUAAUAAUGCCCUUAUAGCCUUCUUUUCCUUCCAUUACAAGAGUCAGUCUAAAGUCAGGUUAUCAGGGGCUCCUCUGGUAAAUCCACAAAACCUAGUGAACUGUCUGUUGUGAUCCCAGAGUCAAAAAGAAUAUGGAUGACCCUUCAGGGAGCCUCAGAAGCUAGGUACUUGCUGUGAAAAUCCAGUUUUUUAUUUGUUUUGUUUUGUUUUUGAGACAGGUUCUCGCUAUACCAUUCAGGCUGCCCUUGAAUUCACUAUGUAGCCCCAACACUAACCUCCAACUCAGGGCAAUCCUCUUGCCUCAGACACCUGAGUUUUAGAAUUACAGGUGUGUAUCACCAUGCUCAGCCUAACAAUCCAGAUAUGGCAAAGAGAAGUCAUUCAUUUGUAUUUUCUGUUAUGAAAAUUUGGGGGCUGGAGAUGUAGCUCAGUCAUAGAGCAUGAUGAAAGGAAAGGAAUGACUUUUUUUGUUGUUGGUGUUUUUGAAACAGGGUCCCCCUAUGCAGUUCAGGCCGCCCUCGAAUUUACUAUGUAGCCCCUACACUAGUGUCCCACUCACAGCAAUCUUCCUGCCUCAACCGCCUGAGUGCUAGGAUUACAAGUGUGUACCAUACCACACCCGCAAGUACUUUUUAAAAAGGGAAAUUCAGAGGUAGUAAAUCUGAAAUUCAGGAAUAAUUCAGUGAAUGGGGCUUGGAAACAAUUCUAUUUCUAGAAUUAUGAUCAACCUAAUAGUAUAUCAUUCUACUGUAAACUGUCUAGAAAUGUUGAACAAAACAUAAUCAUCCUUUCAAAUAUGAAGUUGGGCUGAGCUGAUAAUAAGAUCAGCAACCAAAUACGAAGUGAGAAAUAAAAUUAAAUGGUAGGUCUUGGGCUAGAGGUGUAGCUCAGUAAUAAAAGUAGAUGCUUAGCGUGAGUAAGGCUCUAGGUUCAACCCCCAGCACCAAAAACAAAUAAAACACACAAGUGGUUCGUUUGUGAUCUAUUGUUAAGGCAAUGGGGCAAAGAACAUGAUUUUUUGGCUGUAGUAAUUUAGGAGACUGGGUCUUUAUACCCAAGUGAGGACAGGAUAAAAGUUUUGAACCAGAACCAAAUGAGUGGCUGUACUUCUGAAUAAAGAGGUGAAUAAUAUGAUAAGGUAGAUAAUCCAGAAUAGAAUCUGUCCACCUGGCUAUGGUAUGUGGGAUAUCUGGAAUAGGAAAAACAAGGUGCUUUCUAAAGAUUCUUAGGCAUGAGUUUGCAUUUAUCCCAUAAAAUAUUGGGACCCCAAACCAAGAUGUUAACAUAAAAAUUGUCUUGAACCAUUGAUAUUUCUGAAGCGCUUUGCAGAAGCAAUCAUAAAAUCUUUCUAUAAGCACUGGCUCUCCACACAGGAUUUUCAAAUAUAAAACUCAAAACAAGAUCACAAAUUACAGCUCAAAUUUUUUGUCACAAGAUAUACCAAAUAGCAAGACUAGACCCACAGAUCUUCAGAGACCAGAAUUAUCAGAUAUAGACUUUAAAAUAAUUGUGCUAAAAAACAUACACACCCACUAACACAAAGAAAAAGUUCAAGGCAGAUCUGAAAAGAGCCAAAUAAGCCAGACACAAUGGGGCACAUACCUAUAAGAACCAGCCUGGGUAACUUAGUGAGAUACUGUCUCAAAAUUUAAAAAAGCCUUAAAAGGACUGGGGUUGUGGCUCAGUGAUAGAAUACUUGCCUAUGGGCCAUGUGGGCCAGGUCCUUAGG